rnacentral:rRNA from 1 species
CGUGUAGGCGGCUAGAUAAGUCAGAUGUGAAAGCCCUGGGCUUAACCCAGGAAGUGCAUUUGAAACUGUCUGGAUAGAGUAGGGGAGAGGAAAGUGGAAUUCCUGGUGUAGAGGUGAAAUUCGUAGAUAUCAGGAGGAACACCGGUGGCGAAGGCGACUUUCUGGCCCUAUACUGACGCUGAGACGCGAAAGCGUGGGUAGCGAACAGGAUUAGAUACCCUGGUAGUCC